rnacentral:rRNA from 1 species
GUUGAACGCUGGCGGCGUGCCUAAUACAUGCAAGUCGAGCGAACGGACGAGACGCUUGCUUCUCUGAUGUUAGCGGCGGACGGGUGAGUAACACGUGGAUAACCUACCUAUAAGACUGGGAUAACUUAGGGAAACCGGAGCUAAUACCCGAUAAGAGUUUGAACCGCAUGGUUCAAAAGUGAAAGACGGUCUUGCUGUCACUUAUAGAUGGUUCCGCGCUGCAUUAGCUAGUUGGUAAGGUAACGGCUUACCAAGGCAACGAUGCAUAGCCGACCUGAGAGGAUGAUCGGCCACACUGGAACUGAGACACGGUCCAGACUCCUACGGGAGGCAGCAGUGGGGAAUAUUGCGCAAUGGGCGAAAGCCUGACGGAGCAACGCCGCGUGUGUGAAGAAGGUCUUCGGAUCGUAAAGCACUGUUAGUAGGGAAGAAGAGAAGUAAAAGAAACUGUGCCCAUCUUGACGUUACCAACAGAGAAAGCAACGGCUAACUACGUG